rnacentral:rRNA from 1 species
CGCCCCCUUUUUCUUUUAGGGGGCACAGCGCUCGCCGGAGACACCAACGUGAACACUGUCUGGAGUUUUGUCGUCUGAGUCGAUUGUAUCGCAAUCAGUUAAAACUUUCAACAAUGGAUCUCUUGGUUCCGGCAUCGAUGAAGAACGCAGCGAAAUGCGAUAAUUAAUGUGAAUUGCAGAAUUCAGUGAAUCAUCGAGUCUUUGAACGCACAUUGCACCCCCUGGUAUUCCGGGGGGUAUGCCUGUCCGAGCGUCAUU